ACACAAUAAGUAAUCCACCUGGGGAGUACGACCGCAAGGUUGAAACUCAAAGGAAUUGACGGGGGCCCGCACAAGCAGUGGAGUAUGUGGUUUAAUUCGAAGCAACGCGAAGAACCUUACCAGGUCUUGACAUCCAACUAACGAAGCAGAGAUGCAUCAGGUGCCCUUCGGGGAAAGUUGAGACAGGUGGUGCAUGGUUGUCGUCAGCUCGUGUCGUGAGAUGUUGGGUUAAGUCCCGCAACGAGCGCAACCCUUAUCAUUAGUUGCUACGCAAGAGCACUCUAGUGAGACUGCCGUUGACAAAACGGAGGAAGGUGGGGAUGACGUCAAAUCAUCAUGCCCCUUAUGACCUGGGCUACACACGUACUACAAUGGCGAUUAACAGAGGGAAGCAAGACAGUGAUGUGGAGCAAAACCCCAAAAAUCGUCUCA
rnacentral:rRNA from 1 species